rnacentral:tRNA from 1 species
CCUUCGAUAUCUCCGCUGGUAGUGCGGAGGACUGUAGAUGGUAUAUGUUAGCAAUCCUUGUGUCACUGGUUCAAUUCCGGCUCGAAUGA